rnacentral:rRNA from 1 species
UACACUCCUACGGGAGGCAUCAGUGGGGAAUUUUGGACAAUGGGCGAAAGCCUGAUCCAGCCAUGCCGCGUGCAGGAUGAAGGCCUUCGGGUUGUAAACUGCUUUUGUACGGAACGAAACGGCCUUUUCUAAUAAAGAGGGCUAAUGACGGUACCGUAAGAAUAAGCACCGGCUAACUACGUGCCAGCAGCCGCGGUAAUACGUAGGGUGCAAGCGUUAAUCGGAAUUACUGGGCGUAAAGCGUGCGCAGGCGGUUAUGUAAGACAGUUGUGAAAUCCCCGGGCUCAACCUGGGAACUGCAUCUGUGACUGCAUAGCUAGAGUACGGUAGAGGGGGAUGGAAUUCCGCGUGUAGCAGUGAAAUGCGUAGAUAUGCGGAGGAACACCGAUGGCGAAGGCAAUCCCCUGGACCUGUACUGACGCUCAUGCACGAAAGCGUGGGGAGCAAACAGGAUUAGAUACCCUAGUAGUCCCA